UAGUUGGAAGGGAGGUGACCAAUGAGAGGAGGUGAGGCCUGAGAGUGCGCACAACUCACCCCAGCUGCCAUUUUACUUUGGGUAUCAGUUAAUUUGGGGCUCACUUUCACAGGAAAUGUCAGCCGAGGGUGGUGCGGCAGCGGCAGGGGGUGCUGCCCCUGGAGGCGAUCCCCCCACAGGAGAGAAUGGCGAGAUUGUGGGGGGACCCCGCGGACCACAGCAGAUCGCAGCACAGAAACGAAUGCAACAGACACAAGCACAAGUUGAUGAGGUUGUUGGAAUAAUGAGAGUCAACGUGGAGAGAGUUUUGGAACGUGAUCAGAGAAUAUCAGAGCUAGAUGACCGAGCAGAUGCCCUCCAACAAGGAGCCUCACAAUUUGAACAACAGGCCGGCAAACUAAAGAGGAAAAUGUGGUGGAAGAACCUCAAGAUGAUGAUCAUUAUGGGCGUCAUCGGUAUUAUCGUCCUCAUCAUCAUUGUUGUUUACUUCAUGUAAAUCGCCGUGUAUCAAUGUCUUCUGUAUGUGCGCUCUUGAAACAAAAACAAGCCUGGGCAGCGAGCUAAAUUGCUUUUCAGGACAGGUGUGGUGAAUCUGUGGGUGAGAGCUUCAUUACAAGAAAAAAAGCUUUUUUGAACAUAAGGUCUUGCUAAGAUACCACUAGUUAGGAUCAUAGCCAGGAGGAGCAGUAGACUUUUGAAGAUUUUCUCACUUGCAUAUUGUUGUUAAUGCAUUUGUUCUGUACAGUUUUACUUAGUUCAGUACUUGUGCAGACUGAGUGCAGGUCUCACAGGUGAGAUUCAAUGAGAAUAUGAAAGCAUGAAGUGACAACGUUCUUAUUUUAUGUAGUAUAAGGCACACUAAUGGUCUGUUUUAAUUCUCAUUAAGUGCUUGAGUGUGGUAGUUGACCCCCAAGCCCGGGGAAUUCAGGGGUGGGUACGGUCCAGACCCUCCCGUGGUGAACUGGGCUUGAAAACUAUGUUGUGUGAAUGUACAGGUUGAAUGUGUGGGUGGUGUGUUUCCUUUAAGGUUCUUGUUUAGGGUGUGUCCAGUGCCCUCAAACAACUGACCUUGGGAAAAUAAUUAUAUACCCUGUGUGUGUGUGUGUGUGUGUGUGUAUAUAUAUAUAUAUAUAUAUAUAUAUAUAUAUAUAUAUAUAUAUAUAUAUAUAUAUAUAUAUAUAUAUAUAUAUAUAUAUAUAUAUAUAUAUAUAUAUAUAUAUAUAUAUAUAUAUAAUGUGCUGAAGGUUGUCAGUAAUAGAAAUCUGCUCUCUUUCUGCAAUGAACGUUUUUUUUAUUAUGUAAUUCUUUUUCAGUUAUCAUUUGUAUGUUCCUGAACAAGGGUUGUUCCAGAUUUAUUGUUUGCAUGUGCCUUAUGUUUUUCCUCAUCGAACACAAGCUGUUGGUGAUUUAGAUAAGGCCAUGUCGUUUCCAGGUUAAGUCAAGUCGCUGUCUCUGGCUGUCAGCUUGUCCUGUACAGUCUUGUAGUCUAAGUCUGACGCUCUGUACAGUUUUAACUCUAGAUGUUCUUCAUGCAAGGUGUUUGACUAGUAACUUUGACUAGAAACUUCCUCCUUUUAGAGUAUAUAGAGUACAGUACCUUCUCAAUUUAAUUGCAAGAGUUCCUUAAUGUAUCUGUUGUUGAUGAUCUUGACCCUGUUUAUCCACUCACUAGAGUAAGAUAUAUCUGGUAAGAGCAGAUCUGCUUUAGAUACCUAGGUAUUAAGAUGUGAAACUACUCGUAAUAGUCAGCUUUCACCCGUUGAUCUCAUAAUGCGUAGAUGAGAAAUCCUGCAGCUUGUGUUGGAUGCUCUUUUAAUGCUUUAGUUUACCCACUGUUUGUUUUGCCUGACGGCUGUUAUUUUGUUUUGUUCUUGUUUUUAAACUAGUUUGGGCCGUAAACGACUCGGAGUGAAGACGUGCAGCUGGGCUAAGACGAGAAGAACGGUGAAGCAAUACAAUGACUGGUGGAUGUAAAUUGUUAGGUUUCGAUUGAUUGCCCGUGUACAUAUAAUCUAUGAAUCAUCUAUGUCAACACCCAUGGUAUCAGUGUAGUGACAGAAGUACCACAUAAUGAUGUUCACUAAAUGGCUAGUAUGCUACCAGCAGAUUCAGCAUCUUAUGACUAGGGUCUCAUCAGAAUAUUUUACUUCAUCAUCAACUUAGACUUUCAGUAAGAAUUUUGCCUAUUAAGAUACUAUCAUACAUAUUUACCUUUUUGUAAUUAUUAAUAUCUUGCUAGUCAUUCGAUUUGGCACUGAUUAUAUAUAUAUAUAAUAUAUAUAUAUAUAUAUAUAUAUAUAUAUAUAUAUAUAUAUAUAUAUAUAUAUAUAUAUAUAUAUAUAUAUAUAUAUAUAUAUAUAUAUAUAUAUAUAUAUAUAUAUUAUAUUUAUAUAUAUAUAUUGAUACUUGUUUCUUGUCCAUUAUCCUAUUUGUCAUUAAUAUUUUUCUUGUAAAGGGCCUUUCCUGAGUCUGCCAUGAUGGUCAUAAAUCCUGUGUUUAAGAGAUCCUUAUUUUUCUUAGUCUUGGUUAUGUAAGGCCCUCUCCUGGAACAGCCCUAUUUCAUCAUUCCACACCAUUAGUGUGUAACAAGUUUUAAUGUUUUCUGCUCAUUUUGCAAAGGGAAGUUUCCACAGCUUCUAUCAUUACAGUCCCAGAGAGGAAGGACCUGUGUCAAGCGUUACCAGACUUAUGAUGCCCGAUUGGCAAGAACUCACCAGUGGUUAGAGUACUGUAUGUGCCUUCUGCAGUUGCUUGUAAAUUCUCCUCCAGUCCACAGGUUCCUCCUGUCUGGUCAAGUUAUUUUUAAGUGCAUAGAAGGAAUGCAUUGGUGUCAUAGCAGGAGGCAAGCCAAGAACAAGUGAUACCCUCAGGGAGCUGUGUUGCCAGUUGGUACCUCUGGGUGUGUGUUUUGUUGCUCUCGUACUGGGUUGGUGCUAAUGUAUCAUAUAAUAAUUUAUAAUGUAUUGUAUAUUGUAAGUGUCAACAAAGUACGAGUGAGGUAAACAGUGCUAUGAGGGCUGUAGCUGGUAUCAUGGGUUGUUGCUUAAGUUUUGGGGGCCUCCUGAUUAUGACCCAAAAACUCGGAUUAAAGUGCCCAAGUUAUUGUAUCAUAAUAUCCCCAAAGACUUUAUGGCUUGUUAGAUGGUGUGUGAAUAGGCUUGGUAUAACCCCAUGUUUACAUCCAGAAGCCUAAUGGUUAAUUAUUAACAAUUAUUAUUCUUUAGGAGUCCAACAUAUCUACUGCUCUUUAGUGAUGUAUCAAAGUAGAAGUAAUAUUACUCUGUUAAACGUGAAAUAUAGUGUGUUUAUGUCUGUAAUCUUUUUAUUGUGCCCUUUACUGCUAUGCCGCUGUGAUGAUGGUCAGAAGGAUGGUUCAUUAAGCUGCUCUUACAGUUACAUAGGAGUUGCACAUUAUUAUUUUUGUUAUAUUGUUUCGAGUAUCAGAAAAGAUUGGAGGCCAAAUCAUUUAGUUGUUAAACAGUUGAACCAAGGAAGCUUCAUAUUAGAUGGAAAUGGUUGAUAUUAUCGGGGAAUGCAUACAUAUUAAUGGUUACCUUCAAGGUCAAAACUUUUUGUUUGUGAAACUUUUCUUUUAAAGAAAUUGAAAGGAAUAGCCAUUCUCCAUUGUUGUGGGUAACCUUUGAGUUGUGUGCUGUAUUUUGGUUCUACAUAAUUGAUUAAUUCGUGGAUAGAAAUUAUUUUGUUGUUCAUUAAGGAAAAUAUUAAAGGAUUGUGGUAUCCUUCAUUUCGAUGUAAGGUUUUUUUUAAUUAACAUGUUUUCAGUUAAUAAUGCCAUCCUGAUGCAAAGUACUUUCAAGGUCUAAAUUAUGUUCAAAGACAAAUGUAGAGGCAAGAUGAUGAUGAUUGUACCUGUGCAUUACUGCAGUACACCUUCAUAAUGUGAAUACUGGUAGUAUUCUCUUCAUAUACAUUCAGAUGAAUACAUAACACUGCAUUCAGUCUUGCAUACACAGGUGUUUUUGUAAUACGUAUAUCCAGAAUUUUUUUUACUGACUAGGUUACGUGUUGCAUAUUCUUGGUAGAUUAUGCCAACAAUGACUCCUUAAAUCUUCAUGUAGUAACAUUGAGUAUCAUUUGUUCCCCAUGAAGUAACACUGACUUAUUUGUUCCCCAUGAAGUAACACUGACUAUUAUUUGUUCCCCAUGAAGCAACACUGACUUAUUUGUUCCCCAUGAAGUAACACUGACUAUUAUUUGUUCCCCAUGAAGCAACACUGACUUAUUUGUUCCCCAUGAAGUAACACUGACUAUUAUUUGUUCCCCAUGAAGUAACACUGACUUAUUUGUUCCCCAUGAAGUAACACUGACUAUUAUUUGUUCUCCAUGAAGUAACACUGACUAUUAUUUGUUCCCCAUGAAGCAACACCGACUUAUUUGUUCCCCAUGAAGUAACACUGACUAUCAUUUGUUCUCCAUGAAGUAACACUGACUAUUAUUUGUUCCCCAUGAAGUAACACUGACUUAUUUGUUCCCCAUGAAGCAACACUGACUUAUUUGUUCCCCAUGAAGCAACACUGACUUAUUUGUUCCCCAUGAAGCAACACUGACUAUUAUUUGUUCUCCAUGAAGUAACACUGACUAUUAUUUGUUCCCCAUGAAGUAACACUGACUUAUUUGUUCCCCAUGAAGUAACACUGACUAUUAUUUGUUCCCCAUGAAGUAACACUGACUUAUUUGUUCCCCAUGAAGCAACACUGACUUAUUUGUUCCUCAUGAAGUAACACUGACUAUCAUUUGUUCACCAUGAAGUAACACUGACUAUUAUUUGUUCCCCAUGAAGCAACACUGACUUAUUUGUUCCCCAUGAAGUAACACUGACUAUUAUUUGUUCUACAUGAAGCAACACUGAUAGUGAUUAAUAAUGUAGCACUCUUCACCAUAGUACAUAGCAUUAAUAUCAUUAUUUCUCCAUCAACUUCUAGGAACCCCAAAAUAUUAACUAUAGUUCCUCAUUCUUCCACCCAUAUCCCAUUGAUUCCCAGAUUCCUUUUCUUCAGUAGUGCCUCCAUAUGUGUGUGUAUGUAUGUGAAAUUUACUGUACAUUUAUAUACAUCCAAGUGUUUGUGAACAAGAAAUAUAUUAAUUAUUCCUGGAUGAUAAGUUUUGUCGUUAAACAUUGAAGCUUUUAAAUGUCAUCUUGUUUGUUGUACUUUAGGUUAAACCACAGUUGUCCACAUGUUUACAUUUUCCAUUUUAGUGUAUCCAUCCAUAUUGAUGUAACCCACAUUAUGUUGGUCUCAUAUUGAUGUAACCAAUUUUAAAAGUUGUUCAUCCAUCUUGGUGUGUAGCCCACAAUUUUUCUGUGCUUGUUGACAGAACCCACUUAAAGCUGUCCUCCCAUGUUGACAACCCACUUUAAGCUGUCCACCUAUGUUGACAAAACCCACUUUAAGCUGUCCACCUAUGUUGACAUAACCCACUUUAAGCUGUCCACCUAUGUUGACAUAACCCACUUUAAGCUGUCCACCUAUGUUGACAUAACCCACUUUAAGCUGUCCUAUGUUGACAUAAUCCACUUUCAGCUGUCUACCCAUAUUCACAUAACCCACAUUAAUGUGUCCACCUACUGUAUACUGCCCAGACUCAUGUGUUGACUCUUAUUGAUGUAACUCAUGUUUAAUGUAUCUACCCAUUUUGACAUAACUUGUAUUAAAUUGUCCAUCAAUUUGA